GAUGUUGCACUGGGUGUGUAAUGUCAGUGGGGUUUAUAAGAGAAGGCAGAGACACAUCACGGGGCAGAGAUGGUGGAGGGAGGUGGGUAGCUCUCAGGGAGAAUGAUAAAGGGUGAGUUGCUGUGGCAGCUAAAGUUUUCUACUGCUAGUGGCCAAUCUACCUGUCUUAGUCAUCCAGUGUGGCUAUAGCAGAAAUACCAAAAGUGGAUGGCUUUAAUGAACAGAUAUUAUUUUCUCACAGUUUAGGAAGACAGAAAUUCGAUUUCAGGGUGCUGGCUCAAGGGGAAGGCUUUCUCUCUCUGUCAGCUCUGGAGGAAGGUCCUAGUCUCUUCUGAGCUUCUGUUCCUGGGCGAUCUUCAUGUGACUUGGCAUUUGUUUUUCCCUAUCUCUGCUUGCUUGUUUAAUCUCUUUUAUAUCUCAGAAGAGAUUGACUCAAAACACAUCCUGUGCUAAUCCUGCCUCAUUAACAUAACAAAGACAACCCAUUCCCAAAUUGGAUUAUAACCACAGGCCUAGAGGUUAGGACUUACAGCACAUAUUUUGGGGGACAUAAUUCAAUCCAUAACACUACCAGUAUCCUUUUUCUCAGAAGACACCUAACAAAUCCCAGGGAGAUGCAAAUGGAAAGCAUUAGACAACCUCAUUCCCUACCCCUUCCAGGACACGCACUUGAAUUUCCUUUAUGGGAGAGAACAGGUAAAAGGUUUCACUUGCUUCUUAUGGGCCAAAGAAGCUCUGAGUUGUGCUCUAUUUCCUCCACAGAUGAUGGAAACAAUACAUUUAAAAUAAUUGAAGCUGUCUAUGAUGAGUAUGUUAUAUUUCAUCUCACGAACUUCAACAAUGGGGCUACAUUCCAACUGAUGGAACUGUAUGGCCGAAAAGAAGAUAUAAACCAAGAAGUUAAGGAAAAGUUUGUGGAAUAUUGCAAACAAUAUGGAAUUCCUGAGGAAAACAUACUUGAUCUGACCAAAGUUGAUCGCUGUCUCCAGGCACGAAGUGGGGGAGGAGACCUAGGACCCCAGUGAUGAGUGAAUACUUCCUCACUUGGGCUCCAGGAUCUUCUCUACCGUCGUUCCCAUGUCAUCUUGUGAUAAAUUCUGUGACCUGAUUUCCAUCACUUUUCACUUGAAGGGAUCUUCAGAGUCUUCCCUAACUGCCUAGGAAGACUCAUCAAUUCACCAAGAAUCAAAGGUUCUCUCUGAAAUUCUCUCUUUGCCGCACCCAGUAGAGCUUUACCAUGGAUAAGACUUUCCUCUACAUGAUCAAUAAAUAAUUAGCCUUGCUGUCAUGUGAUUUGUUUCUGUGUAUGGGAGAGAUGUAGAGCUGACAACAGUGAAUGAGAUGGCUCCCUGGCCCCACACCUGUAAUUCUCCUCUAGCUUCCCAAAGUCUUCCCUGAGUUUCAGGAUCCUCCCUCCUUGGCAGUAAUUCUCUGUGCAUUAUCCCAAGUCACCAUGAGUGCUGCUUGCCCUUUGAUUUGUCUAUUCCUUAGUGGCCUGAUAAGACUGUUAUAUAUACUAUAAGAACAUAAGACUUGCCCCAUA